rnacentral:rRNA from 1 species
UACGUAGGGCGCAAGCGUUGUCCGGAAUCACUGGGCGUAAAGGGCGCGUAGGCGGCCUGAUAAGUCGGGGGUGAAAUUCUGCGGCUUAACCGCAGGGCUGCCUUCUAAACUGUCAGGCUCGAGCACAGUAGAGGCAGGUGGAAUUCCCGGUGUAGCGGUGGAAUGCGUAGAUAUCCGAAGGAACAUCAGUGGCGAAAGCGACUUCCUGGACCAAUACUGACGCUCAUGUGCGAAAAGCGUGGGGGAGCAAAACAGGAU